UACGUAGGGCGCAAGCGUUGUCCGGAAUUAUUGGGCGUAAAGAGCUCGUAGGCGGUCUGUUACGUCCGCUGUGAAAACCCAGGGCUUAACCCUGGGCUUGCAGUGGAUACGGGUAGACUAGAGGCAGGUAGGGGAGAAUGGAAUUCCCGGUGUAGCGGUGAAAUGCGCAGAUAUCGGGAGGAACACCGGUGGCGAAGGCAGCUCUCUGGGACGGUACUGACGCUGAGACGCGAAAGCGUGGGGAGCGAACAGG
rnacentral:rRNA from 1 species